GCUCUCUUUGCAAGGAGGUCUUCACACAAGAUUAUCACAGAACCCAACAAGCUUUAUUCAUUCAUAACAUUAUAUAGACAAGGUACAUACAUCAUGAAAAAGAAUGUCGAACAAACUAAAGAGGCAAGAGCCAGCAACACUCAUCAAACCACCGCCGGCCUCUCAAAGGAAAAACUCUCUGCUCCAGCCAUCCAUCUACUGCAUCAUCGCCGCCGCGAGAAGGGACACCAGUGCCGAGGACACCAAGGCCAGCGCGGAGACGCUGGCGGCCGCGCCGGCGUCAGGCGCCGGAGCGGGGGCUGAGGAAGGCGCCAUGAAGUCCUGCGCCGACGCAGAGGCGAAGAAGACGGCCACGGCCAGGAGCAGCACGCCGACGCGUGGAGCCAUCACGACCUUGCGCUGUAGCUUGAGGGCUUGCGAGUCGAUGGGAGGAUGGGGGAGGAGGGGAGUGAGUAAUAUGGGGGCGCCGAGGUGGGAUGCGAGGGAAUGAGGGAUGGUGGGGGCGCCGUGGGGUUUAUAUAGCAGGCCCG
rnacentral:rRNA from 1 species